UUGCGUGAGGAGAGCACAGGUGUUUGUUCAGAAGGUGAGCAGACUUUGUUUCCAGUUCUCCAUCUUCACGCACCGCCCCCAGGCUUAACCGGUGGUUGCGUUCACCUGGACAACCACUCGGAACAGAACAUCAGGACUUACUAUGUGUCCAAAAUGACUAAUUGACAAAGAGAAGGAGAGAGUAAGAGCAGAGAGCGUGGACUGCGGAGUCAGAAUGCCUGGUUCAAAUUGUGGAUCCAGCAAGUCACAGAUGAGGCCGCCAUGGCAGAGGAACUAUCAGCCUGGAUCCCAGGGCAGAGGCCCCUGGCAACUUGUGCCGGAUGGAAUAUAGCAUGAGUGAGAAACCUUUGUUGUUUUAACCACUGAGAUUUUGGAAAUGUUUGUUACCACCGCAUAAGCUAGCCUACACUGAAUGACUCUCCAUGUGGCGAAGUGCAUAACAUCUCAUUUGUCAGUUUCUCCUUUUGGCAAAUGGAGAUCCCGAGACCUCUAGAUUGUUUUCAGAAUUAAAUAGGGUAAUACCUUGAAAGAAUGUGCCUAGUAUACAGCAAGUGCUCAAUAAAUAUUAGCUCUUACUAUUUUAUAUGCAGACAGGUAGAAAGAAU